rnacentral:rRNA from 1 species
GAUGAACGCUAGCGGCAGGCUUAAUACAUGCAAGUCGUGGGGCAGCAUGAAUGUAGCAAUACAUUUGAUGGCGACCGGCAAACGGGUGCGGGACACGUACACAACCUUCCUAUAAGUGGGGAAUAGCCCAGAGAAAUUUGGAUUAAUACCCCGUAACAUAAUGAUGUGGCAUCACAUUAUUAUUAUAGCUACGGCGCUUAUUGAUGGGUGUGCGGCUGAUUAGAUAAUUGGCGGGGUAACGGCCCACCAAGUCUACGAUCAGGAGCUGAUGUGAGAGCAUGAUCAGCCACACGGGCACUGAGACACGGGCCCGACUCCUACGGGAGGCAGCAGUAAGGAAUAUUGGUCAAUGGACGCAAGUCUGAACCAGCCAUGCCGCGUGAAGGAUUAAGGUCCUCUGGAUUGUAAACUUCUUUUAUCUGGGACGAAAAAAGGCGAUUCUUCGUCACUUGACGGUACCAGAUGAAUAAGCACCGGCUAACUCCGUGCCAGCCGCCGCUGUAAAAC